rnacentral:lncRNA from 10 species
CACAACAGGUUUUUAUUUUAAGCUGCUCUGGGUAAAGUACACAUAGUGGAGCUCCCUUUCUGCAAGUUUCCAGAGUCCAAGUUUUCUCAAAGUGGAAGUGUGGGGGAGCUGAUUAAAACAUCAUCAUUUUCAACAUAAGAGAUGAAGUCUUCUGAAGUGAAAAUGGUAUUUUAUUCAAAGGAGGAAUAGUUCCCUAAAGAGCUAUGCUGAAUAUGAGCACAGAAGAUGGAAAGAUUAUAUGGCUUCUCUUACAACUGGAGGUCUGCUGAAGACUUUGGAAAUCGGAAUUUUAUAUAUUUUUCCAAAAAACAAUAUGAUGUUCUUGUAAAAUUUUCAAAGAUCUGGUUGAAUAAAUGAAGAAACUAUUUUUCUAUUUUUCUUCUUCCUUUCUCCUUCCUAAACAUUUCUCUCUCUCUCUCUCUCUCUGUCUUCUCUCUCUCUCUCUGUCUCUGUCUCUCUUGCGCUCUCUCUCUCACUCUCUCGCACUCUCUUGCUCUCUUUCUCCCCCUUUUUCUUUCUCCUUAUUACUCUUGGGGCCAGAAGAUGUUCAUUUUUAUUAUUAAUGCUUGCUUGAAUGAAAAAUGAAAACUUCUGUUCUUUUCCUUUAAAAACAUCUACACAUUUUCCAACCUACUCAGAUAUGUAAGUAGAAUCCAAGUGGUAUCAUAGGCAAAACUAUUACUGUUAUGGAAUGCAUUUUAAAAGAGGAGAUUGAUUAUAUUUCUAAAUGUAACAAUAGAGAUAAGAACUAUGAUAAGAGUUGAAGAUGAUAAAAUGUCUCUUUAAAGUCAU